AGCAAGAGUCACACAGUACACAGAAAAGAUCACUGAACAUCACAGCUUCAGUUACAGGGUUAAGCGUCCUAAGUGAUAUCUACAAAAAACAACUGACAAAAUGAUUAAAAGAAACACCAUCAUGCUUCUGCUAGCAGUUUUAAGCCUACCAGAGAUCUCCACAAGCCAAUCCACAACUACCACAGCUGCUCCAACAACCACAACAGCUGCUCCAACCACCACCACAGCUGCUCCAACAACCACAACAGCUGCACCCACAACUACCACAGCUGCUCCAACAACCACAACAGCUGCACCCACAACUACAACAGCUGCUCCCACAACUACAACAGCUGCACCCACAACUACAACAGCUGCUCCCACAACUAC